AUCCAAAUGCGCAUGGCUUCGGGGCUCGGAGCCACCAUGUAGAAAAGGCGUUCGUAGGUUUUGACGCAGAAGGUCAGGCGGGGGUUGGGGCUCUGGAAUAAGCAGAAAGUGAGGGUAAUUCAGACAAAAGACACCGGCCACAGUCUGGGUGCGAACCCAGCCUUGCUACUUAUAGUCUGUGUGGCACUGGACAAGGUACUUAAGUAUCUGAAUGUCAGUUUCCCUGUCUUCCCAAAUGAUGCCACCUACCUCACUGGGUUAUAAGGAUUAAAUGAAUUAACACAAGGAAGUGCUUAAAAUUAUCAUAUGUAGAGCGCUAUUGAUAAAUUAGGGGCAAGAUAAAUUUUUUUUCUUUUUUUUUUGAAACUGAGUCUGGCUCUGUCGCCAGGCUG
rnacentral:lncRNA from 1 species